rnacentral:rRNA from 1 species
UACGAAGGGUGCAAGCGUUAAUCGGAAUUACUGGGCGUAAAGCGCGCGUAGGUGGUUUGUUAAGUUGAAUGUGAAAGCCCCGGGCUCGACCUGGGAACUGCAUCCAAAACUGGCAAGCUAGAGUAUGGCAGAGGGUGGUGGAAUUUCCUAUGUAGCGGUGAAAUGCGUAGAUAUAGGAAGGAACACCAGUGGCGAAGGCGACCACCUGGGCUAAUACUGACACUGAGGUGCGAAAGCGUGGGGAGCAAACAGG